AUGCAAGUGGUACGGAAUCCGAAAGGUGUACCGACCUUCGGGAGCUUGCACAGGUGCUGCAUGGCUGUCGUCAGCUCGUGUCGUGAGAUGUUCGGUUAAGUCCGCUAACGAGCGCAACCCUCGUCGUGUGUUAUACGUGUCACACGAUACUGCCGGUAUCAAGCCGGAGGAAGGUGGGGAUGAUGUCAAGUCAGCAUGGCCUUUAUAUCCUGGGCUACACACACGCUACAAUGGCAGAUACAAUAGGUUGCGAAACCGCGAGGUGGAGCCAAUCCUACAAAGUCUGUUUCAGUUCAGAUUGUAGGCUGCAACUCGCCUGCAUGAAGUUGGAGUUGCUAGUAAACGCAGGUCAGCUAUACUGCGUUGAAUACGUUCCCGGGGUUU
rnacentral:rRNA from 1 species